CUCAUUUCCAAAGUUGUUGUCAUGCUAGGAGAAAGUACAGUACCCAUCACUUUCUCCCCUACCUUACCAGGACGAACAGCCACAGUUGUCUUCUCAGAAUCAUCAUUUACUUCCCCAGUAGGUUGACACCGUCGUAAGUGUGUCUUACUAUCACCAGCUGUUUAAAAUCGAAGAACAGACAGAUCAGCUCUUCCCCAGUAGGCUGACACCGUCGUAAGUGUGUCUUACUAUCACCAGCUGUUUAAAAUCGAAGAACAGACAGAUCAGCAAAUGAAAUCAAGCAGGAAGACUCCAAUUGAUUAAGAC
rnacentral:lncRNA from 1 species